GAUCCUGGCUCAGGAUGAACGCUAGCUACAGGCUUAACACAUGCAAGUCGAGGGGAAACGACAUCGAAAGCUUGCUUCCGAUGGGCGUCGACCGGCGCACGGGUGAGUAACGCGUAUCCAACCUGCCCAUCACUUGGGAAUAACCUUGCGAAAGUAAGACUAAUACCCAAUGAUAUCCCACGAAGGCAUCCGAAUGGGAUUAAAGAUUUAUCGGUGAUGGAUGGGGGUGCGUCUGAUUAG
rnacentral:rRNA from 1 species